rnacentral:rRNA from 1 species
GAUGAACGCUGGCGGCGUGCCUAAUACAUGCAAGUCGAGCGAACAGACGAGGAGCUUGCUCCUUCGACGUUAGCGGCGGACGGGUGAGUAACACGUAGGUAACCUACCUAUAAGACUGGGAUAACUUCGGGAAACCGGAACUAAUACCGGAUAAUAUUUCGAACCGCAUGGUUCGAUAGUGAAAGAUGGCUUUGCUAUCACUUAUAGAUGGACCUGCGCCGUAUUAGCUAGUUGGUAAGGUAACGGCUUACCAAGGCAACGAUACGUAGCCGACCUGAGAGGGUGAUCGGCCACACUGGAACUGAGACACGGUCCAGACUCCUACGGGAGGCAGCAGUAGGGAAUCUUCCGCAAUGGGCGAAAGCCUGACGGAGCAACGCCGCGUGAGUGAUGAAGGUCUUCGGAUCGUAAAACUCUGUUAUUAGGGAAGAACAAACGUGUAAGUAACUGUGCACGUCUAGACGGUACCUAAUCAGAAAGCCACGGCUAACUACGUG